UACGGAGGGAGCUAGCGUUGUUCGGAAUUACUGGGCGUAAAGCGCGCGUAGGCGGCUUUGUAAGUUAGAGGUGAAAGCCCGGGGCUCAACCCCGGAACUGCCUUUAAAACUGCAUCGCUUGAAUCCGGGAGAGGUGAGUGGAAUUCCGAGUGUAGAGGUGAAAUUCGUAGAUAUUCGGAAGAACACCAGUGGCGAAGGCGGCUCACUGGACCGGCAUUGACGCUGAGGUGCGAAAGCGUGGGGAGCAACAGG
rnacentral:rRNA from 1 species